UACGGGGGGGGCAAGCGUUGUUCGGAAUUACUGGGCGUAAAGCGCGCGUAGGCGGCUCUUCAAGUCGAGUGUGAAAGCCCCGGGCUUAACCCGGGAAUGGCGCUCGAUACUGUUGAGCUAGAGUGUGGAAGGGGCUACUGGAAUUCCGUGUGUAGCGGUGAAAUGCGUAGAUAUGGGGAGGAACACCGGUGGCGAAGGCGGCCAUCUGGACGGUAACUGACGCUGAGACGCGAAAGCGUGGGGAGCAAACAGG
rnacentral:rRNA from 1 species